GGGGCUGUAGCUCAAUGGAUAGAGCACCGACCUUCUAAGUCGAUGGUUGCGCGUUCGAGUCGCGCCAGCCCCGCCA
rnacentral:tRNA from 10 species